ACAUAACUCGUUGCGGGCUCCGCGCGGUCCCACUUCCCGGCUCCCUUCGCCUCCAGGAUGCGCUGAGCCCUACAACACCCCCAGCGGCCGCCGGCUCCCCCACGAGAUUCUGAGUUUUCAGCACCUGACAGUGGCGGGGGAUGGCAGACACACCUGUGGGUGCUGGAGACAUCUUGGCGGCCCUUCCUCCAGUUUGGCAUCAUAGUCCCCUGUGGGCUGAGCACAUGGGGCUCCUGGACAGUUGUUACCGAUGGAGGGUAUCCAGGUUCUUGACAUCUUGAACAAAGAAUUGGACAAAACGGCACAAACAAAGCAAGAAAAAGAUGAAGCAACAAAAGCAGAUUUAUUGAAAACGAAAGUACACUCCAUAGGGUGGGAGCAGGCCCUGGUUACAGAAUUUUCUGGGGUUUAAAUACCCUCUAGAGGUUUCCCAUUGGUUAUUUGGUGCAUGCCCUAUGUAAAUGAAAGUGACCUGCGAUCAGUCUGAUUGGUUGAGGAAAGCAGCCAACCAGAGGCUGAAGUGAAGUUACAAAGUUACAUCCUAUGCAAAUAUCUGAUUCAUUGUGGAAAGCAACCAAUCAGAGGCUGAAGUGAAAUUACAAAGUUGCACUCCUAUAUAAAUGAAG
rnacentral:lncRNA from 1 species